rfam:Rhodnius prolixus Rhodnius_prolixus-3.0.3-173.15, whole genome shotgun sequence.
GCCAACGGCCAUACCAUGUUGAAUACACCGGUUCUCGUCCGAUCACCGAAGUUAAGCAACAUCGGGCGUGGUUAGUACCUGGAUGGGUGACCGCCUGGGAACACCGCGUGCUGUUGGCA